CAUAGAAAUUUAAAGCUUUGGUAUGAUGUAUUAGAGACGAGUUCUCCAGUUGUAGAUCGAGCAAUUAGGUUGAUUGAGGAUUGGAACAAUGCGCGCAGAGCAGCAAGGAUACUCGGGUUGACAACAAGAGUGCUUCUAAAGUAAUUAAGUCUUUUGACGGAUCAAUAUAAGCUUUUAUUCGAUGGCAGAAAUCGGCGACAUGGAGAUAUAAGUGUAACAUUAAUACGUCAUUUCAUCUCAACGCAAUCGAGUGGGC
rnacentral:lncRNA from 1 species